GACGGGGGAUGCAAGUGUUAUCCGGAAUCACUGGGCGUAAAGCGUCUGCAGGUGGUUUCCUAAGUCCACUGUUAAACCUUGAGGCUCAACCUCAAAUCUGCAUUGGAAACUAGGAGACUUGAGUAUAGUAGGGGUAGAGGGAAUUUCCAGUGGAGCGGUGAAAUGCGUAGAUAUUGGGAGGAACACCGGUGGCGAAGGCGGGUCUCUGGGCCGAUACUGACGCUGAGGAGCGAAAGCGUGGGGAGCGAACAGG
rnacentral:rRNA from 1 species